GCUGGAUGGUAGAAUGGCCUUUACUUUCUACUAUGAUAAACAGACAGUGAACGUAUUCAGUGAUAAAGGAUUACAAGACUUUGAGGUGAAGUUGCCCGUUUUCCCGUGUGAUAUAGUAUACAUAAGUGAGGACAAUACAUUAGCUGUUACAUCUGGUGGUUUAGUGAAGACGUGUAUUACCAUUAUAGACGUGGAGAGGAAACAAAUCAAGAAAAUAAUUUCAAUUGAUUCGUGUAUUUUUGGAAUAGCACUCAAAGAUAAUCGAUUGAUUUAUUCCGGUGGAGACAAAGGUAUACGAAUGAUCGAUCCGUUCGACGAGUCUACAAGUGACAUUGUUCGAGACAAAAUGCCUAAUGACUGUUACAUUGCGACGUUUAGGGACAAAAUAUAUCAUACAAACAUUGAAACAAACACGGUUACGUGUUAUAAUAUACAAGGUCGACUGCAAUGGACAUUCCAAAAUAUGCGCGUUCUAAAGCAUCCUAAGGGUAUUGAUGUAGAUAAUGAUGGUAACGUGUACGUGGCUGGGACCAAUUCACAGAACGUUUUAGUUAUCUCCCCUGACGGAAAACGCCACAGAAAGGUGUUGACAUUAAGUGAUGGUCUAAAGGAUCCCAUGGCAAUUCAUUUUAGUGGUUUAAAGAAUCAGUUGCUAGUCACGGACAUGGAUCACAAGGCUCAUUUGUUUAGUUUUAUUUGAAAAGGUUACAGUUACUACUCUCUCGUUGGAUCGUUCUUUGAAAUGUGUGAUAUAUAAUCAAUAGGUCGAUGUUCCCCAUUUCGUUUAUUUUGUCAGUUAUAUAUUAUGAACUGUUCGUUUGAAGAAAAAAGUGUGCAUUCAAAAAAAUAACUCAGCACAGCAAUUACCCAUUACACAGCCCCAUAUUUGUACAGAAUACACUUAAAUAUUUUAAAAUAAAAUACAUAUG
rnacentral:lncRNA from 1 species